UACGUAGGUGGCAAGCGUUAUCCGGAUUUAUUGGGUGUAAAGGGCGUGUAGGCGGGAGCGCAAGUCAGAUGUGAAAACUCAGGGCUCAACCCUGAGCCUGCAUUUGAAACUGUGUUUCUUAAGUGCUGGAGAGGCAAUCGGAAUUCCGUGUGUAGCGGUGAAAUGCGUAGAUAUACGGAGGAACACCAGUGGCGAAGGCGGAUUGCUGGACAGUAACUGACGCUGAGGCGCGAAAGCGUGGGGAGCAAACAGG
rnacentral:rRNA from 1 species